AUUGAACGCUGGCGGCAGGCUUAACACAUGCAAGUCGAGCGGGGUGAUGGUGCUUGCACUAUCACUUAGCGGCGGACGGGUGAGUAAUGCUUAGGAAGCUGACUAUUAGUGGGGGACAACAUCUCGAAAGGGAUGCUAAUACCGCAUACGUCCUACGGGAGAAAGCAGGGGAUCACCUGUGACUUUGUGCUAAUAAAUGAGCCUAAGGCGGAUUAGCUAGUUGGUGGGGUAAAGGCCUACCAAGGCGACGAUCUGUAGCGGGUCCGAGAGGAGGAUCCGCCACACUGGAACUGGGACACGGCCCAGACUCCUACGGGAGGCAGCAGUGGGGAAUAUUGGACAAUGGGGGGAACCCUGAUCCAGCCAUGCCGCGUGUGUGAAGAAGGCCUUAUGGUUGUAAAGCACUUUAAGCGAGGAGGAGGCUUACCUAGUUAAUACCUGGGAUAAGUGGACGUUACUCGCAGAAUAAGCACCGGCUAACUCUGUGCCAGCCGCCGCGGUAA
rnacentral:rRNA from 1 species